UACGGAGGGUGCGAGCGUUGUCCGGAAUCAUUGGGCGUAAAGGGCGCGUAGGUGGCGGGACAAGCGUGCGGUGAAAGCUCGGGGCUCAACCCCGAGUCGGCCGUGCGAACUGUUUUGCUUGAGCACUGUAGAGGCAGGCGGAAUUCCGGGUGUAGCGGUGGAAUGCGUAGAUAUCAGGAGGAACACCUGCGGUGUAGACGGCUUUCUGGACCAUUGCUGACGCUGAGACACGAAAGCGUGGGUAGCAAACAGG
rnacentral:rRNA from 1 species